rnacentral:rRNA from 1 species
UACAGAGGUCCCAAGCGUCGUUCGGAUUCAUUGGGCGUAAAGGGUGCGUAGGUGGCGCGCUAAGUCAGGUGUGAAAUUUCGGAGCUUAACUCCGAAACUGCAUUUGAUACUGGCGUGCUUGAGGACUGGAGAGGAGACUGGAAUUACGGUGUAGCAGUGAAAUGCGUAGAGAUCGUAAGGAAGACCAGUGGCGAAGGCGGGUCUCUGGACAGUUCCUGACACUGAGGCACGAAGGCCAGGGAGCAAACGGG